rnacentral:rRNA from 1 species
AUUGAACGCUGGCGGCAUGCUUUACACAUGCAAGUCGAACGGCAGCGCGGGCUUCGGCCUGGCGGCGAGUGGCGAACGGGUGAGUAAUGCAUCGGAACGUGCCCAGUAGUGGGGGAUAGCCCAGCGAAAGCCGGAUUAAUACCGCAUACGACCUGAGGGUGAAAGCGGGGGACCGAAAGGCCUCGCGCUAUUGGAGCGGCCGAUGUCGGAUUAGCUAGUUGGUGGGGUAAAGGCUUACCAAGGCGACGAUCCGUAGCUGGUCUGAGAGGACGACCAGCCACACUGGGACUGAGACACGGCCCAGACUCCUACGGGAGGCAGCAGUGGGGAAUUUUGGACAAUGGGGGCAACCCUGAUCCAGCCAUGCCGCGUGCGGGAAGAAGGCCUUCGGGUUGUAAACCGCUUUUGUUCGGGAAGAAAUCCUCUGGGCUAAUACCCCGGGGGAUGACGGUACCGGAAGAAUAAGCACCGGCUAACUACGUG